rnacentral:lncRNA from 1 species
GAGAAAUUAGGGAAUUAAUCCUGCUGGAGGAAUUUAAAAACCACCUUCCUGAUCGUGUUGUUGUUCAUUUAAAUGAACAGAAAGUGGCGACGUUGUCCCAGGCAGCUGUAUUGGUAGAUGAGUAUUCCUUAACCCACAAAACUGUGUUUGGCGGGCCUUGCUUUGAAAACCGAACAGUGACGUCAACAGCGUCUCGUUCACCUCGGUUCUCAUCCGGUGACAAUAAAGCUUCGCCUGAGACCCGCGAGUGUUUUUACUGCCACCGAAUAGGCCACGUAAUAUCGGACUGCCCGGUUUUAAAAGGCAAACCGAAACAGUCCCCGCCAUCGUCCGCUAAACCGAAAGGUGUUGGAUUCAUUCAGACUGUGCGUCGUUUACCGGGCACGUCGGUUGUCUCUGUGGACACAGUUAAGCCAGAUCCCGUUUACGCUCCGUUUGUGUCAGUCGGUUGUGUUUCGGUAACGGGUAAACCAACCGAUCAGAAAAGCGUUCGGAUACUUCGAGACACCGGUGCAGCGCAGUCACUCAUUCUCACAGACAGUUUGCCCUGGUCUGCUGAGACGUACUGCGGCUCACACGUCCUCUUACUAGGCCUAGAGAACAAGCCAAAGUCUGUGCCGUUACACUGGCUUCAUUUGACAUCUGAGUUGGUAUCAGGCCGUUUCCGUGUUGGUGUGGUGCAUAGCCUACCAGUGAAAGGGGUCACACUUUUACUAGGGAACGACAUCGCUGGUGGUCACGUGACUCCAGUGUUAGAGGUGGUAGACAGCCCAAGACCUGAGAGUACGGAUGAUAACUUGAUCCAAGCAUUUCCCCAGGUAUUUCCGGCUUGUGUGCCAACGAGAGCCCAGUCUCGCAAACUGGGUGACGUGGUGGAUUUGUCUGGUUCCAUAUUCGAGCAUGUUAGGGUAGAGGACCCAAAAUCAAACAGUCCUUCUGCUAAGUCUACGGUGUCAAGUCCCAUACAGACUCAGAAAGGGGAAAGCGGAGUCGCGCCCCAGAUGCAAGACAGUCUUCUGUCAGUCACACCAGAGAAGUUGAAGCCAUAUCAUGCACGGUGUUCCAC